CCAGCAUUGCUACUGUGUGUGUGUGUGUGUGUGUGUGUGUGUGUGUGCACGCGUGCGCACAUGCAUGCACACACUCAUAUG
rnacentral:miRNA from 1 species